GACGAACGCUGGCGGCGUGCUUAACACAUGCAAGUCGAACGGAAAGGCCCUGCUUUUAUGGGGUGCUCGAGUGGCGAACGGGUGAGUAACACGUGAGUAACCUGCCCUUGACUUUGGGAUAACUUCAGGAAACUGGGGCUAAUACCGGAUAGGAGCUCCUGCUGCAUGGUGGGGGUUGGAAAGUUUCGGCGGUUGGGGAUGGACUCGCGGCUUAUCAGCUUGUUGGUGGGGUAGUGGCUUACCAAGGCUUUGACGGGUAGCCGGCCUGAGAGGGUGACCGGCCACAUUGGGACUGAGAUACGGCCCGGACUCCUACGGGAGGCAGCAGUGGGGAAUAUUGCACAAUGGGCGGAAGCCUGAUGCAGCAACGCCGCGUGCGGGAUGACGGCCUUCGGGUUGUGAACCGCUUUCGCCUGUGACGAAGCGUGAGUGACGGUAAUGGGUAAAGAAGCACCGGCUAACUACGUG
rnacentral:rRNA from 1 species